UGGAUUUGAACCCUCUCCUCUACGUGUCGCUCGCCUCCUAGAACUCCUGGACUCCCUGUACAUUUCCCUAUCACCUGUAAAUAAAAACACUUACCUUUUUA